rnacentral:rRNA from 1 species
GCAUAUCAAUAAGCGGAGGAAAAGAAACCAACAGGGAUUGCCUUAGUAACGGCGAGUGAAGCGGCAACAGCUCAAAUUUGAAAGCUGGCCCUUUUAGGGUCCGCAUUGUAAUUUGUAGAGGAUGAUUCGGCGAGGGCUCCUGCCUAAGUCCCCUGGAACGGGGCGUCAUAGAGGGUGAGAAUCCCGUAUGCGGUAGGUUGCCUUAGCCAUGUGAAUCUCCUUCGACGAGUCGAGUUGUUUGGGAAUGCAGCUCUAAAUGGGAGGUAAAUUUCUUCUAAAGCUAAAUACCGGCCAGAGACCGAUAGCGCACAAGUAGAGUGAUCGAAAGAUGAAAAGCACUUUGGAAAGAGAGUUAAAAAGUACGUGAAAUUGUUGAAAGGGAAGCGCUUGCAACCAGACUUGUCCGCAGUUGCUCAGCCGGUCUCCUGACCGGCGUACUCUUCUGCGGCCAGGCCAGCAUCAGUUCGGGCGGUCGGAUAAAGGCCUCGGGAAUGUGGCUCCUCUCGGGGAGUGUUAUAGCCCGGGGUGCAAUGCGGCCAGCCUGGACUGAGGAACUCGCUUCGGCAAGGAUGCUGGCGUAAUGGUUGUAAGCGGCCCGUCUUGAAACACGGACCAAGGAGUCUAACAUCUAUGCGAGUGUUCGGGUGUCAAACCCGUACGCGUAAUGAAAGUGAACGGAGGUGGGAACCCGCAAGGGUGCACCAUCGGCCGAUCCUGAUGUCUUCGGAUGGAUUUGAGCAAGAGCAUAGCUGUUGGGACCCGAAAGAUGGUGAACUAUGCCUGAAUAGGGUGAAGCCAGAGGAAACUCUGGUGGAGGCUCGCAGCGGUUCUGACGUGCAAAUCGAUCGUCAAAUUUGGGUAUAGGGGCGAAAGACUAAUCGAACCAUCUAGUAGCUGGUUCCUGCCGA